GAUUCUGGCUCAGGAUGAACGCUGGCGGCGUGCUUAACACAUGCAAGUCGAACGAAGCUAAGGGAGCUUGCUCCCAAAGCUUAGUGGCGGACGGGUGAGUAACGCGUGGGUAACCUGCCCUAUAGAGGGGGAUAACGUUCGGAAACGAACGCUAAUACCGCAUAAACCAUAAGGAGCUGCAUGGCUCUGAUGGCAAAGAUUUAUCGCUAUAGGAUGGACCUGCGUUGGAUUAGCUAGUUGGUGAGAUAACAGCUCACCAAGGCGACGAUCCAUAGCCGGCCUGAGAGGGUGAACGGCCACAUUGGGACUGAGACACGGCCCAAACUCCUACGGGAGGCAGCAGUGGGGAAUAUUGCACAAUGGGCGCAAGCCUGAUGCAGCGACGCCGCGUGAAGGAAGAAGGUCUUCGGAUUGUAAACUUCUAUCAGCAGGGAAGAAUAAAUGACGGUACCUGACUAAGAAGCCCCGGCUAACUACGUGCCAGCCGCCGC
rnacentral:rRNA from 1 species